CUGCGACGGACUUUCUCCCGCGGCUGUGAGGAACGCGCCCCCGACAGGAAGGCCGACCGCACUUCCCACAAUGCCCGGCGCGAGCCCAGAGUUCCGGCCCGGGUAACCGUGAGGCGGCCGCCAUCUUGUGUACGGAGGUGCGGCUCGCCGUCCCCGUCCUCACGGGUGGGGUUUCCGUCCCUCUGCAUUUGUGUUUUGGUGCGGUCGCUAGACGCGCUUCUUUCACCUUCCCAGGGGUUCGCGUCUUCCCCAAGACGGCCUAUGCAGAGCUGUGGAGGAAGAUGUCUAACGGUGGAAUCGAAGCUAAAUAUUUGGGACCUGGAGAACUGGGAAGUGGACCGUAUCAUAAAAGAUUGAAAUCAACUGCAGAGACAUAUGUUUUACCGCAUCAUGGUAGUACUGAUUUGCACAGAGUCCAAGAGAAAACUGGAAGUGAUUGGGUCCCUUUGACCGUCGUGGAUGUCAGAGGGCAGAGAUAUCCUCAAGUGAACAAAACCGAAACUACGGAUUUGCUGAAACCUUUUUGUAAUGAAAUGCCUGACAGUAAACCAGAUGGCAUUGGUACUUCACAAGGUUUACAUGAUAUAAAUCCUCCAUUGCUAACCAAGGAUGAUGAGAUUUAUAGUACAAGUACAGCGUUUAUAGGCCCUAUUUACAAACCCCCUGAGAAAAAGAAAUGCAGUGAAAAGGCAGACAAUCUGAAUGGUAUAAAGGGCAAAAGAAGGCGAGAAGAGAAACAGAAAUUUAACUCUAGAAAGCCAGAGAUUGACAGUGAAUUGUCCCAGUUUUACAAAGAAAUUGAAGAGCUUGAAAAUGAAAAAGAUGACUCAGAAGGCAGUUGUAAGGAGCCUGAACCUUCUCCGGAACAACUUACUCCAUCUCCAUGUUACCAGUAUCAUGUGAAGGAUCCUUUAAAAUCUGAUGGAGAAAAGGAAGAUUUUAAAGCUGUUCAGUCACAUUGUGAUUAUCAACAGUGCUUGGGGGAUGAGUCUGCCAGCCGUCACUGUAAUGGACAACAAAUAUCUACAUUUCGUGAUACUUCCUUCCCUUCAUUCAGGCCUGAAUGGCAGUCACUGCCUCCUUUUAUAGUACCCCAUGGUCCUCCCCCUCCCAGUUUUAACUGUCAGUUAAAUAUUCAGCAAUUUGGUGCUCUGCCAAAUCCACCACCAAAUAUUUUCCACGCCCAAGAUGAAUCUCGGAUGCAAAAUGGACAUCAUGUUAAUAGUUGUCAUGUUAGGUGGAAUUCUUUGGCUCCUAAUGAGAACAGUAGCUACGUUGACUUAGGAGAGCGUAAUGUUAGUACUCAUCCCCCUAGAGAUGGCUACAGUACACAAGAUGGGUAUGUGAAUGGUUUCUGUGAAAUCAGGGAGGGAUGCUGGAAAGACCCUUCAGUGGACAAGCAUAAUGGAAUAGACAGAUUUGCAAGCCAGCAGUAUCAAGAGGCAAAGUUAAAUAAAUUGCAGAAGUUACUUAUUCUUCUAAGAGGUCUGCCUGGUUCUGGGAAAACAACAUUGUCUCGCAUUCUGCUUGGUCAGAGUCGUGACGGCAUUGUGUUCAGCACUGAUGACUAUUUUCGCCAUCAAGAUGGGUACAGGUAUAAUGUUAAUCAGCUUGGUGAUGCCCAUGACUGGAACCAGAACAGAGCAAAACAAGCUAUCGAUCAAGGGAGAUCUCCAGUUAUAAUAGACAAUACUAAUACACAAGCUUGGGAAAUGAAGCCAUAUGUCGAAAUGGCCAUAGGAAAAGGAUACAGAGUAGAGUUUCAUGAGCCUGAGACUUGGUGGAAAUUUGAUCCUGAAGAAUUAGAAAAGAGGAAUAAACAUGGUGUGUCUCGGAAGAAGAUUGCUCAGAUGUUGGAUCGUUAUGAAUUUCAAAUGUCCAUUUCUAUUGUAAUGAAUUCAGUGGAACCGCCACAGAAAAGCACACAGAGACCUCCUCCUCCUCCACCAGGGACACCGAGAGAAAGAGUCUUGAAUAAAGCUGGAUACCUUCUUUAUAAAACCAAACAGAAGAGAAAUAGAAAAAGAAAGAAACAGCAGAGUAGUCCCCGUAAAAUCAUGCCUGAAAAAUCAUCUGAAACUUUAAGUUAUGUUGUGCCGGCAAAUGGGGACCCAUCUCAAAGUGAAGAGGAAGACUUUGCAGAGAUUACAGGAGAAUCAGCAUGUCCCUCGACUAGCAAUCCAGGCAAUGAAGUACAAGAUUCUGUGAGUGGCUGUAAGGAAAAAAGUUGGAAAUGCACAGAUCCUGGCGACGGCUUUCCAAAGUGUGAAACCAAGCUGGACAACACACCACCCUAUUGCCCAGCUAAGGAAGGUGAUGACUUACUUCUAACUUUCUCAUCAGGGUCAAAUGAAAGUUCUGUUACUUGUCCAAUAGGGAUGCAGGAUAUUUCCUGUGAAACAAAGAAUGUCUGCUCUGACAUGAAGGUAGAAAAGCAAACUGGGCAAAGGCUUACACUGACGUCAGAGAUGCCAGACCCAUUUGCUGAAAUCCCAAGCUCAUUUAUGCAGAAGAGAGAGAUGGCAGAUAAAAGUCUCUCGAAUGAACCGAUUCUGUGUCGUCAGCAUGGAUCUAGAGCUUUAGAUGAAGCUUGUAUAGAGGAACGGGGAGUGCAUACCACUGAGAACAACUGGGCUUUCUUCACAACUAGCCUCACCGGUGAAGAAUUACAGCAAGGCUCUGACAGACAGCCGUAUCUUGGUGUCUGGCCUGAAGGACCUCAUAAGUUUGUAUGUGAGCAGAGAUCAAAGAGAAAUCGAUCCCGUAAACAAGCCUGUCCUGACAGCAGGCGGCAGCUGGUUAGACUGAUUUCCACUUUUGAAGGAGUGCCAGAACCAGAAAGCAGCCCAGAAACGGUGCCGGGGGACACCCUGCCCAUAGGAGCUGAAGAUGUGUCACCUCCGGCUGAAACUGCAGCUUCAUUUACAGAAACAGAAACUAGUAUCCUACCAAGUAGCCCACCUGACCUGGAUGUCCCAGAGAGUGGCUUAGAAUCAACAAUGAACACGAAAAAGAGACCGAAAAGGAUUUUCAAUUUGGCAUCAAGCUUUUGCUUACAGGAACAGAAGUGUGUCAGUGCAAAAGAAAGAGAGGAAUGUGGCUUAGUAACUAAUAACCAUGGAUUUAAAAUUCUGUUGGAAGGAACAGAAGAUAGAAUUUCAGAAAUAAAUAGCCAAGAAGAAGAUAAACAAAAAAUUAUAACCUGUGAUCAUCAACCCUCAUGGUUUCAUCUUGAUGCUAUCAAAGAUUCCCCAAUAAAUAUUGGUGGACAAUUUUAUUCCCAUUGCCUGUCAUUUAACAGACUAAGGCACUGUGUGUAUUUUUAUGAAAACUCUGUUCCUUCCCUUGUGCUACAUUAUAUGUUUAGCUAUUGGAAGAUCUCUUUUACAAACAAGAGGCCAUUUUUGACUUUCAAAUCCCAGACAAGAGCAAGUGGUAAACUAAACGAUGUAGGGUUUGUUUCUUCAGGAAUUCUAAGCGACCAGCCUGACGCCUUGCACUCUCUGCGGGUCACUUCUGAACUUCACUUUUUAAAUGGAAGAUUUGAUGAAAAGUUGAAGACCCGGGAAGCAUCUAAGUCUUUACAGUGCCUGCCGAGUGAGGAGAUUCAAGAUGUCACACAUACUGGCUUUCCUCCGCUUGGGCUACCAUUAUCGCAAGGGUUUGCCAUUCAACUGGUAAAGCUUUUUGGACCUCCUGGAAUUCCAAUGGAAUCCUUGUUGCCUGAAGAUUAUGUUAUUCCCCUUGACCGCAAGACGCUCAAGAUGAUUUAUUUGCAAUGGAAGACAUCAAUAGAGGAAAGACAGAAGAAGAUUGGUUUAAAAAAUGAGAACUCCUUGAGCUUCAAGUUCUGCGGUCUUUACGGAGCUGCUGGAGAUCCAGAUCAUUGGGAAAAUUUGUCAGACGCUCAGUGCCCACCAAGGGAGUCUCCCCAGGAUAUUCGUUGGACACCAAAAUUAGCUUGACUAAUCUGUCAAUCGUUGUGGAUAAGUUUCCUGAAUAAUAAAAAAACCUCAACAGAAGAGGAAGGGAGCCCACCUGCCUCAGUUCCCCCAAUUUUGACAGAUCCUGUUUAGCAUUUUCCAAGGAAACAAACUUCAGGUACAGGGCAAGGGCUGGCAGCUGCUGGGUGAAUAGAUAUUUCUAUUUUUUCCCUCAGAUUUAUUAUUGUUUUUAUUUGAAAGGCAGAGUUAAAGUGAGAAGGAGAGACAGAAAGAGAGGUCUUCCUGCUGUUUCACUCCCCAAAUGGCUGUGAUGGCUGGAGCUGAGCUGAGCCAGUUCAAACCCAUAAGCCAGAAACUUCUUCCUGGUCUCCCCUGUAGAUACAGGUC